rnacentral:rRNA from 1 species
GAUGAACGCUGGCGGCUUGCUUAACACAUGCAAGUCGAGCGAGGGAGCACCUUCGGGUGUGAACUAGCGGCGGACGGGUGAGUAACACGUGGGCAACCUGCCUUACAGAGGGGGAUAGCCUUCCGAAAGGAAGAUUAAUACCGCAUAUUAUGAUUUUUCUGCAUGGGAAAGUCAUGAAAGGAGCAAUCCGCUGUAAGAUGGGCCCGCGGCGCAUUAGCUAGUUGGUGAGGUAAGGGCUCACCAAGGCGACGAUGCGUAGCCGACCUGAGAGGGUGAUCGGCCACAUUGGGACUGAGACACGGCCCAGACUCCUACGGGAGGCAGCAGUGGGGAAUAUUGCACAAUGGGGGAAACCCUGACGCAGCAACGCCGCGUGAGUGAUGACGGCCUUCGGGUUGUAAAGCUCUGUCUUCAGGGACGAUAAUGACGGUACCUGAGGAGGAAGCCACGGCUAACUACGUGCCAGCAGCCGCGGUAAUACGUAGGUGGCGAGCGUUAUCCGGAUUUACUGGGCGUAAAGGAUGCGUAGGUGGAAUUUUAAGUGGGAUGUGAAAUACCCGGGCUCAACCUGGGAACUGCAUUCCAAACUGGAAUUCUAGAGUGCAGGAGAGGAAAGCGGAAUUCCUAGUGUAGCGGUGAAAUGCGUAGAGAUUAGGAAGAACACCAGUGGCGAAGGCGGCUUUCUGGACUGUAACUGACACUGAGGCAUGAAAGCGUGGGGAGCAAACAGG